rnacentral:rRNA from 1 species
UACAGAGGGUGCGAGCGUUAAUCGGAAUUACUGGGCGUAAAGGGCGCGUAGGUGGUUAAUUAAGUCAGAUGUGAAAUCCCCGGGCUUAACCUGGGAAUGGCAUAUGAAACUGAUUAGCUAGAGUUUGGGAGAGGGAAGUGGAAUUUCAGGUGUAGCGGUGAAAUGCGUAGAUAUCGGGAAGAACACCCGUGGCGAAGGCGGCUCUCUGGACCAUAACUGACGCUGAUGCACGAAAGCUAGGGGAGCAAACAGG